CGGACGUUGUCCGGAUUUAUUGGGCGUAAGAGCGUGUAGGCGGCCUGGAAGGUCAGCUGUGAAAACUCGAGGCUCAACCUCGAGACGUCGGUUGAAACCCCCUGGCUAGAGUCCGGAAGAGGAGAGUGGAAUUCCCGGUGUAGCGGUGAAAUGCGCAGAUAUCGGGAAGAACACCCGUGGCGAAGGCGGCUCUCUGGGACGGUACUGACGCUGAGAAGCGAAAGCUAGGGGAGCAAACGGGAUUAGAAACCCCGGUAGUCCUAGCCGUAAACGAUGGAUGCUAGGUGUAAGCAGAUCUAACCCUGCGUGUGCCGAAGCUAACGCGUUAAGCAUCCCGCCUGGGAACUACGAACGCAAGCUUAAAACUCAAAGGAAUUGACGGGGACCCGCACAAGCAGCGGAGCGUGUGGUUUAAUUCGAUGCUACACGAAGAACCUCACCCAGGUUUGACAUGGCGGUGGUAGUGAAGCGAAAGCGGAACGACCCGCAAGGGAGCCGUCACAGGUGUUGCAUGGCUGUCGUCAGCUCGUGUCGUGAGAUGUUGGUUUAAGUACCCUAACGAGCGCAACCCUCGUUGCCAGUUACAGGUGUCUGGCGAGGCUGCCGGCCGCGAGCCGGAGGAAGGCGGGGAUGACGUCAAGUCAGCAUGGCCUUUAUAUCUGGGGCUACACACACGCUACAAUGGGCCGCAACAAUGGGUCGCCAAACCGCGAGGCGGAGCCAAUCCCAUAAAACGGUCCUCAGUUCAGAUUGCAGGCUGCAACCCGCCUGCAUGAAGUCGGAGUUGCUAGUAAACGCGCGUCAGCUAUAGUGCGUUGAAUACGUUCCCGGGUCUUGUACACACCGCCCGUCACACUAUGGGAGCUGGCAACACCUGAAGCCAGUAGCGUAACCGCAAGGAGCGCGCUGUCAAAGGUGGGGCUGGUGACUGGAGUGAAGUCGUAACAAGGUAACC
rnacentral:rRNA from 1 species